rnacentral:misc_RNA from 1 species
AUCUGAAUUCCCUCCUGUUGAAGCUGCUCUUAAAGCUGGAGCAGUUCCGCUACUUGUGCAGUGCCUUUCAUUUGGCUCUCCUGAUGAACAGUUGCUUGAGGCAGCUUGGUGCCUUACAAACAUAGCAGCAGGAAAACCAGAAGAAACAAAGGCUUUACUGCCUGCAUUACCAUUGCUUAUUGCACACCUUGGAGAAAAGAGUUCUUUGCCUGUUGCUGAGCAGUGUGCAUGGGCAUUGGGAAAUGUUGCUGGAGAAGGGGAAGAUUUGAGGAAUGUUUUGCUAGCCCAAGGAGCCUUACUGCCUAUUGCUAGAAUGAUGCUACCAAACAAGGGUUCAACCGUUAGAACAGCUGCUUGGGCAUUAUCAAACCUAAUCAAGGGACCGGAUUCUAAAGCUGCAACAGAACUCAUUCGAGUUGAUGGGGUACUGGAUGCAAUAUGUCGGCACUUGAGAAAAGCGGAUGAGGAGUUGGCAACUGAAGUAGCAUGGGUAGUCGUGUAUCUUUCAGCCCUCUCAAAUUUUGCUACCAAUAUGCUGGUGAAAAGUGAUGUUCUUCAACUGCUCAUACAAAGAUUAGCAACAUCAAACAGCUUGCAAUUGCUCAUUCCGUUGCUGAGAAGUUUAGGUAAUCUUAUAGCUGGUGAUUCUCACACAAUUUCUGCUAUUCUUAUUCCUGGACGUGAAAUCACAGAUAAUAUUAUUGAGGUCCUGGUAAAAUGUUUGAAGAGUGAACAUCGAGUCUUGAAGAAGGAAGCUGCAUGGGUGUUAUCUAAUAUAGCUGCCGGUUCAGUUGAGCACAAACAGUUCGUCUAUUCUAGUGAGGCAGUGCCACUACUAUUGCGGCUUCUUUCAACAGCACCCUUCGACAUAAGAAAAGAAGUAGCUUAUGUUUUGGGUAAUCUCUGUGUUGCCCCAGCAGAAGGCAAUGGAAAGCCAGACCUGAUUUUGGAGCACUUAGUUCCCCUUGUUGGUAGAGGAUGCCUUCCUGCUUUUAUUGACUUGGUUAGAUCCGUUGAUACAGAGGCUGCAAGACUAGGUCUUCAAUUUAUAGAGCUGGUUUUAAGGGGGAUGCCAAAUGGUGAGGGCCCAAAGCUUGUUGAACAAGAGGAUGGGAUCGAAGCCAUGGAAAGAUUUCAGUUUCAUGAGAAUGAAGAUCUGAGAAACAUGGCAAAUGGUUUGGUUGAUAGAUAUUUUGGUGAGGACUAUGGGCUUGAUGAAUUGGCUGAUUGAUGUGAUCGUUGCCAAAAUACAGCCUUCCCUCCACAUAUGACAAAGUUCGUCUAACUUUCUUUGCUCAUGGAGAAUGCCGAAUAGAACUUAAUGUGAGGGUGGGUUGGUGUGAAUGAAUAGAACGCCUGAGUUUGUAGCAUGUUUGCAUAUGCAAUUAUCGUCUGAUUUGUUCUUUAUAAAUGCAGAUUUUGACAUUGUUUUUCCUCAUGAAAUUUCAAAACAUAUGGAACAUACAUUGUUAGCAUCUAAUGUAGAUAACUCUUGAAAGGUGUAGGGUAUCCUCCUUGAUAUGUGCAAGCAAAAGUAGCUUAUGAUGUCAACAGGGAAACUAACAAACACUAGCCUGC